UAGCUCAGGACGAACGCUGGCGGCGUGCCUAACACAUGCAAGUCGAGCGAGGAGAUCCUCGGGAUGAUCCUAGCGGCGGACGGGUGAGUAACACGUGGGCAACCUGCCUCAUAGAGAGGAAUAGCCUUCCGAAAGGGAGAUUAAUACCUCAUAACAUUGCAGUUUCGCAUGGAGCAGCAAUUAAAGGAGCAAUCCGCUAUGAGAUGGGCCCGCGGCGCAUUAGCUAGUUGGUGAGGUAACGGCUCACCAAGGCGACGAUGCGUAGCCGACCUGAGAGGGUGAUCGGCCACAUUGGGACUGAGACACGGCCCAGACUCCUACGGGAGGCAGCAGUGGGGAAUAUUGCACAAUGGGGGAAACCCUGAUGCCAGCAACGCCGCGUGAGUGAUGACGGCCUUCGGGUUGUAAAGCUCUGUCUUCAGGGACGAUAAUGACGGUACCUGAGGAGGAAGCCACGGCUAACUACGUGCCAGCCGCCGC
rnacentral:rRNA from 1 species